GACGAACGCUGGCGGCGUGCUUAACACAUGCAAGUCGAGCGGUAAGGCCCUUUCGGGGGUACACGAGCGGCGAACGGGUGAGUAACACGUGGGUGACCUGCCCUCAGCUCUGGGAUAAGCCUGGGAAACCGGGUCUAAUACCGGAUAUGACUCCAUGACGCAUGUUGUGGGGUGGAAAGCCUUGUGCGGCUGAGGAUGGGCCCGCGGCCUAUCAGCUUGUUGGUGGGGGAUGGCCUACCAAGGCGACGACGGGUAGCCGGCCUGAGAGGGCGACCGGCCACACUGGGACUGAGAUACGGCCCAGACUCCUACGGGAGGGCAGCAGUGGGGGAUUUUGCACAAUGGACGAAAGUCUGAUGCAGUGACGCCGCGUGGGGAUGACGGCCU
rnacentral:rRNA from 1 species